AGUGGGGAAUAUUGCACAAUGGGCGGAAGCCUGAUGCAGCAACGCCGCGUGCGGGAUGACGGCCUUCGGGUUGUAAACCGCUUUCAGCAGGGACGAAGCGUGAGUGACGGUACCUGCAGAAGAAGCACCGGCUAACUACGUGCCAGCAGCCGCGGUGAUACGUAGGGUGCGAGCGUUGUCCGGAUUUAUUGGGCGUAAAGAGCUUGUAGGCGGUUGGUUGCGUCGAAAGUGCAAACUCAGGGCUUAACUCUGAGCCUGCUUUCGAUACGGGCUGACUGGAGGAAGGUAGGGGAGAAUGGAAUUCCCGGUGGAGCGGUGGAAUGCGCAGAUAUCGGGAGGAACACCAGUGGCGAAGGCGGUUCUCUGGACCUUUCCUGACGCUGAGAAGCGAAAGCGUGGGGAGCAAACAGGCUUAGAUACCCUGGUAGUCCACGCUGUAAACGGUGGGUACUAGGUGUGGGGGACAUUCCACGUUCUCUGUGCCGUAGCUAACGCAUUAAGUACCCCGCCUGGGGAGUACGGCCGCAAGGCUAAAACUCAAAGGAAUUGACGGGGCCCCGCACAAGCGGCGGAGCAUGCGGAUUAAUUCGAUGCAACGCGAAGAACCUUACCUGGGUUUGACAUAUAUCGGAAACGUUCAGAGAUGGGCGCCCCGUAAGGUCGGUAUACAGGUGGUGCAUGGCUGUCGUCAGCUCGUGUCGUGAGAUGUUGGGUUAAGUCCCGCAACGAGCGCAACCCUCGUCCAAUGUUGCCAGCGGGUUAUGCCGGGGACUCAUUGGAGACCGCCGGGGUCAACUCGGAGGAAGGUGGGGAUGACGUCAAGUCAUCAUGCCCCUUAUGUCCAGGGCUUCACGCAUGCUACAAUGGCCGGUACAAAGAGUUGCGAGCCUGUGAGGGUGAGCGAAUCUCAAAAAGCCGGUCUCAGUUCGGAUUGGGGUCUGCAACUCGACCCCAUGAAGUCGGAGUCGCUAGUAAUCGCAGAUCAGCAACGCUGCGGUGAAUACGUUCCCGGGGCUUGUACACACCGCCCGUCAAGUCAUGAAAGCCGGUAACACCCGAAGCCGGUGGCCUAACCCGUUUGGGGGGGAGCUGUCGAAGGUGGGACUGGUAAUUAGGACU
rnacentral:rRNA from 1 species